rnacentral:rRNA from 1 species
UCGAGUCUUUGAACGCAAGUUGCGCCCGAGGCCAGCCGGCCAAGGGCACGUCUGCCUGGGCGUCAAGCGUCGCGUCGCUCCGUGCUAGCCGUGACAUGCCAACGGCAUGGCUGUCGGGCGCGGAUGCGUAGAAUGGCCCGUCGUGCCCAUCGGUGCG